ACCCUGCUGGGAUAAUAAGCUGGCCAAAGGAGGAGGUAGAAGCCACUGAUGUCAAGACCAGGAAUGCAUGGAGGGUUUCUCCCCCAGACCAGCACCCUGAGGCUGUACGCUAAGGAGAAGGAAGGGGGCCGGGGACUGGUGAGUGUCAGCACCACAGUCCAGGAUGAGACAACAAACAUCCAAGAAUACAUUGGGAAGAUGGCCCCAACUGACCGAGUGCUCAGUGAAUACCUCAGGCAGCAGAAACCCAAGAAAGAGGAGGGAGACGAGGAACCAUCAUGGAAGGACAGGCCCCUGCAUGGUAUGUACCACCGGCAGAUAGAGGAGGUGGCUGAUAUCCAGAAAUCCUACCAGUGGCUGGACAAAGCUGGACUGAAAGACAGCACAGAGGCACUAAUCAUGGCAGCACAAGAACAAGCUCUGAGUACAAGAUCCAUAGAGGCUGGGGUCUAUCACACCAAGACUGUAUUUAUAUCCAGGCUGACAUGGAGUUCAGGGUUCAACACUCAGGAAAGUGUGAGACCUUCCACACUGACAGAAGAUGCUGCACAUGAUUAAACUGUUGUUUGUUAAAGCCUCACAGAUCUGAGAGCAGAGCUCAGUGGGCUCACGAGCCUUUAUACAUGAAGCGUUUCAGGUUCAUUUAAAUCAGUGUUUCUGUUUCCAGCAGAGCAAACAUGAUCCAGCUGGUUCACAUGGAUCUGUGUGGAUGCAGCAGCACCUGACUCUGUACAUCAGCUCCCAGGGGAUGCUGCAGCGCCCCCUGGUGACACAAACUCCUCCCUCUGUCUCAGAGGUCAGAGGUCAGCCUGCUGCUGAGGGUCUGCCUGUUUAUGGACUUCCUGUCACAGAGACGGGUCUCAGGGUGGAUGCUGGUUUCUGAUUGGAUGGUGCAGAAACCCAGCUUUCUCCAGCCAAGAUAGAAAAAUCAAUAUUCUAAUGUUCAUGUUAAAGCAGUGAGUCUGUGGAUUCAUCACUCUCUGUGGAUCGGAGGCUCCAAUGACCGUCUCAGCUGUUCUCACCACCUGCUGGAUCUGGACUGUCUGAGGCGUCUCCAUCAGAAAGUCCAGGAUCAGUGUGGAGGUGUUCAGGCCCAGCAGGAAGUCUAUCAGUGUCAGCAGAACCCAGUGUGACCAGUACUUUGUGAGAGUGGGAAUGAAAAGCUGAACUGAUCAGUGAUUGGAUCAAACAGUCUCUUAGUAAGACCUGACUCCUCUGAUUCUGUGAUGCUUUAAUAAAACAGUGAAACAUUACAGAGCAGAUACUUCAGUGACACAGAGUCAGUCACAGAAACAGGAUUGAAGUGAUUCAGGAGUGUGAACUAUGGCUGAUGAGAGAAUGAUUUGUUUAUUACGGUUUAUUCUGUGCUCCUGAGGUUAGCCUGAGAGUGCUAACAGUCCGAGCUCAGCCACAGCCUUAAAGUGUGUGCAUCAAUGAGCUGUAAUGGAAACAGGAACAAACAGAAUAAAUACAAACAUCACACCUCCAAGAAAGACGAG
ensembl:lncRNA